UAUAAAUGAUUAAAAAGAGAGCGCAUGUAUUACAAAGUAAAAAACCUAUGUAAUAGUCUAUAUAUAUUCAAAAAUGAAACUAUAAAAAAUAGUACCCAAUGUACUCAAACAGUAAUAGCUGCUAAAACAAAAAGAAUAUUCCCAAUUCCAAAAAACAAAUGUAAAUAAAAAUUUCAGCGCUAAGUAGAUAAUCCCCUUAGAAAUAAAAAAGGUGCAU